rnacentral:lncRNA from 1 species
UAUGAAUUAUUGAGAUUACAUGUUUUAAUUUAAUUAGGUUGACAUUGUUUGUCUAUGUCUCUACCACGAGUGUACUUUGUAUUAUUAUAUAUAGCAAGGAGUGUGUGUAUUUUAUGUCAUGAUUACCUAUGUAUUGUAUAAAAGUUUUUAUAUCGUAAGUUCCAGAGUAACAGAAAGCAUGGUUCUAUGACCGGCAGCUUGUAAUAAUAUGUACGUUACUUUCACUUUUGCUUUAACCGGAAGUCACGUAUUGUGAUAAAUAUAGUGACAAUCCUGAGAAAUCGUAUAAAUUGUAUGCUGUCUUGGACAUGUUUUAGUUAUAUUUUUGUAUGUUUUUCAAAAUAGAGAUAAAUGUUAGAGUAUUUUAAGUAAGGUUUAUGUAGAAUAGUUUUAUUAUAAAUAUUGUAAUAGCUUCUUACGUACUAUUUUUGCACCGACGUUGCGCACCUUUUCACUGUAAUCGGGCUGUUAUGACGUCGUUUUCUAAGACGUUAAGUGCAAAAUUAUUUACCUAAUAAGGAAGAUUCCUUAUUUGGUCAUGGAUUUUACCCAUAUUUGGAAUUUCUCUCACGCGAAAUAACAACACUAGCGUAAGAUUGAUAGUAUUUUACGUCAGUUCCAGCUUGUCCCUAGUUCCGGAUAGCAGUAAAAUAAACUUGUCUCAUAACUUUCAAGGUACAGUUUUUCUAAAGCAGCAGUUUAGUUCCUGUAUAUUGCACUAUAUAUGCAAUAUAACUAUUUAUACAGUUCAUAUAUAAUCGUUCCAGUUUCCAGUUUUAAACGGAGGCAGAAUUUUAAUAGCGUUCUUGUUUUCUAAAGAUUCUAAGUUUUGAGAAUAAAGUUUAAUAAUGAAUUUUAACUUUAAAUAGGAAAGGUGCGUCAACUCGGCAAAAGUGGCCGUUUGUUUCGAAUAGUAGGGUGGCUGUUUAUAUAUCUUUUUAUAGUAUAAAAAGAGAGUUACGAAAAUAGGGGCUUAUUUAUUUGUGUAGUAUUUAACAUGUAUUUAUAUGGAGAGUUGCUGAUAUAAUCUGU